UGCAAGUUGAUUAAGCAAACAACCUAGCAUGGUUACAUCACAACCCACUGAUGCAAACCACGCGCUACACACACAAGCAAGGAACACACGACUAACAACACUACCCUAUAGGGUGGCUUAGGUUCAGCGACAGGUUCUCCAAGAUCUUCACUCCUGCUUCACAGCUGGCUUCACUGCUUCCUCCACUUCGCUAGCGGAUCCUGCAGUCUUUCGGAGCUUCGGCAAACAACUGACGACAUCUUCUUCUUCACAAAGCUAACCAACUAGUACUAGUUGAAAUCUGAAGAAGGAAGAAGAGGGUAAACCUUUUGCAAAUAGCAUUAGGGGAAGGAGAAAAAGAGGAACUUUCACAAAUAGUUUUAUUUAUAAAAUAUGUCCUUAGGUUUUAUCCACUUGGCUUAUCCUACAGUCGAGAUGGCUCUGAUACCAGCUUGUCGCGACCGGGAAAAUUGCCUUUUCCCGAACGCUAGUGUAUUAAUCCCCGUCCCAGGAAAAGCCGGGGUACACCACACAAACAUGAUAUAAAAGACACAUCUUUAUUAUAUCGAUAAUAUUUACAUUAUUACAAAGGCGCUUCAGGCCUGACAAUCAAAAAUAAACAGCAGCGGACUAGCGGGCCUACGGCUCCAUCUUCACAGGCGCUCAACUGGGGUAUAAGCCAGGACUCCACCUAAGACAUCUUCUCCAAAGCUUCUCUUACUGAAGAGGGGAAGGAUUGAGCAAGAAUGAGUACAACCACAGUACUCAGCAAGCCACACCGGCGGAUGCAUAAUUAAUGCAAGGGAGGUACAAGGGAAUAAUAAUAUAGGGAUUAAGUUUUGCAGUAAACAGCAUUUAAAAGACACUUAGUUGCCCAAAGCCAUUUUGUAAAGACGAUCCUAGAGCUACACAGUAUUAUUAAACAAGGCCGUGAACCCUCACGAACCUGCCUUAACCCAAGGCCUACGAUGAUUCGGACCGAACUGGCAACCCGACCUGGGUCCCAGCUCGUCCCAAGCCAACCCAGGCCAACCAUUCCAUAUUUUAGUUGUUGAGCAAAUUUUAAGAAUUAAAACACUGACUUGGGUACAUUGCUAGGCUUGCCCAUAUCCGAGGGCUCGGCUAUUCGAAUAGAUUUACUCUGAUCAGAGGUGUACAUCUUUACCCACAGGACACAUCUUCCUCACGUGCAAACACGUGCCACAUACCACCACGGUAUACGGACGGAAGACGUGACAUAGUUCCCAACCCAUCCUAGCCAUAAACAAGAGUACCGACCCAAUCCCACCUACGGCCGGGAUACCCGGGACAGGCAGGCAGAACUGAGCCCCUAGCAGCAGGGCACCAACCCUCUGCCAUAUGACAUCUCGACUACCGGGCCGCAGCUCGUGUAGCCUUCAUUUGUCCUGGAGAAUGUCCAUCGACACCCGACUUCAUCCAUCUCCAAUCCGUGUACUUUUGUUUAUGACUAGACUGAGCCACAAACUAAGCCUUACCCAUUAGACAUGUGGAAGUACGGUAGUGCUUUGCAACAGAGGCCCGAGCUUAAUCCUUAUAGUGGCCGGGGUGCUACUUCCCACAACUGGCAUGCACCCAAACCCCACCGAAAACAGGUUUUAGGGGUUUUGAAAGAGGAAGAGAGGUGUGUGUCCAAUUCCAACAUAAGCCAACCAUUCCAUAGUGUCCAAAUGAUAUGAGAAUUCCCAAAGUCUAAAGUUAUAAAACCACCUAAUGUUGCCUAAUUAAUCAGCGAAGCAUCUACCUAAAUUCAUACUAGUGGAACCAUAAAUAGAGUGUCCACUAGUUAGGGUUUUAUUUAUUCUAGGGUGAACAAGGUAAUAAUAACAAUAGCAAUAAUAAUGUCUUAACAAAGGUAAAUAGGCAUGGCUAAAUAAAACAGUGAUAACGCGGGAAUUUAAAUAAAGCGGUAAUGCAUUAAUUUAAAUCAAAAUAAUUUUAUAAACUGGGAUUCAAUAUGCUCAAGGAUGAUGUGACUUGCCUUGCUCGCUUUCCCAAACACCGGCUUCAACUUCCACGAAGAGCGGAUCUUCCGAAGCUGCAGCGUCUACACGACCAACGGAAAAGAAAAAGGCUUUUACUCUAAUAAACUCCAAAUAACAAGCAGGAACAAAGCACAAAAAUGGGUUCUUUACAUCUUAAGGAAAAAUUAGAGACUUGAACGGUCCAAUUCCGAGUUCAAAUGGCCAAGAUAUGGCCAUUUGAAGUUUAUAUGCUCUUUAAAUGGAUAUUUGCGAAUUUCUUCAUUUAAAUUUUAAUUUAAAAUCGAAUUAUUGCGUCAGCCGAGGGGAGAGGGCGCGCGGACCGGGUCCACGGGAGUGGGGCCCACGCGUCAGCCUCUCGGUCCACGGUGGACCGGGAGCACGCGGCUGGCGGCGGUCGGCGCCGUGGGUCCCGCGCGUCAGCCGCACCCGCGGGCGCGGGCGGCUGACGGCCGGGCCCACCUGGCAGCCGCGAGGGCGCGCCGAAGGCGGCCUCGCCGGCACGGCCGACGGGAGGAGGACGCGCACCCGCGCCCCGAUGGUCGCCGCCGGCGACCAACGGCGCGGCGGAGUGGCACCCGAGAGAGAGGAGGGAAGGGGGAAGCGAACGGAACGGUCUUCGGCUCACCCCGGUCGACGGCGACGACGGGAACGGCGGCCGAAGCGGAAGAAGACGGCGGCGCGGCUCGGGAUGACGAGGGCGACGGUGCUCCGGCGAUGUUCGGGCGAGGAGGAGGCGCGGACGGAGUCGGCGGCAACACGGCGAAGCGGACGGAGGUGUCGCCGAGUAAGGAGGAAGUCCGGAGCGGCGGCGGCGGCGGAACGGAGCUCGGCGGCGACGGCGGAGAGAGAGGAGCACGGCGCGAGCACGAAUCCGACGGCGAGAGCGAGCGGCGAGCGGCGGAAACGGAAGAGCGAAGCACGGGGAUCGAAUAAAUAGCAACGGGAGGGGGAGAGCGCGGCCGGGGAGAGAGGAAUCGCGCGCGGAGAUCUCGGCCGCCAUUGAAGACGCCGGCGACGAUUGCGGGAUGAAUCCGGACGAAUCCGAGGGAGAGAGAGAGGGAAAAGAGGGGGAAUCGGGAGAGGGAAACGCGGGGAGUAAUUCGCCCCUCUUUAUGGCGCGCGGGGAAGGCGGGAUGCGGCGGAUUCGGCGGCGGCGGCGGCGCUAGGGCACGGGCGGCGGCGGGUGCGGCGCGAGGAGGGAGAUGACAGGUGGGACCCACCCGUCAGCGAGGGCGGCGGGCGGGCCCGCCUGUCAGCGGCGCGCGCGCGCGGGGGAGGCCGAUGGGCCGCGGGGGAAGAGAGAGAGAGAGGGAGGGAACGGGCCGAGCCGGCCCAAGAGGGGAGGGGGGGGGGGAAAAGGAGACUUCUUUUAGGGUUUUUCUUUUUAUAAACCUUUUUAACUUUGUUCAUUUCUUUUCAAUUAUUAUUUGUGCUCUGAAAAUUCCACUAAAAUUUGAGGGCUCCUUUUAGACCAAGGAGAAUUUAACAAAAAUUCUCCGGGCCACAUUUGAAUUUUUCUUGCACGUAUUUUAGUGUUUGCCAAUUUCUUUUCGAAUUUUAAUUAAUUCUAUUAUUCCUUUUAGCGAAUGAUUUUUAUUUCGGGAUGAAUUUAUCAGGACGUGACAAAUCCACCCCCCUUACAAGAAUCUCGUCCCCGAGAUUCGAGGAGGCUAGCAAGAAGAUAGGUUGGGCGGUCUUCUCUUCUUGUCUGACUUCUUCCGUUGCGUCUUGACGAACUUCCAGCAAAACUUUACCACUCGGAACUGCUUGGCUUGACCUCCUGUUGCGGAUGGAAUCUUCUCUUCACCUGACUUGGACCAGGGUGCACCUUUUGGCUGACUCAGACUAGGUUGCGGUAGUUCAAUGAUGCUUCCGUUCCAGAACUUCUCAUGAUUCAUAUCUUCGGAGUCAACCUCGGACAAGUUAUCAACUUCAUGUCAUGCGUCGAUAUCAGCUUGUCAUUACUAGGGUACCAUGCUUGUUAUCAUGAGAAUAUCAUGCUUGUCAUUUACUUCUAACUUACCACUAUUCACUUCAUGUUGUCCUCAGUUAGCAUUCAACGUAUUCCUGUGCACCUUCAGCCUUGAUGUGUUCUUUCCCAUUGGAUCAUCUCCCAAGACAUGGCGUCGCCUGGUAACCGGGGCUUGCACUUUUCACUCCGUGUAGCAUCUGAUACCGAGUUGAAGAUUUCACUCCUUGCCUUCAUAGAAACACUUUUACCUAGGUCAUCUUGCUUACUUAAUGACAAGGUGACUGUUGUGGGGGAGGCAAUUACUAUCAGGGGUCUUCCUUGAGCGAUGCAGAGCAUGUUUCUGUUUAUCAAUCACCUUUCGGCCUACUUCUUUCAUGCUUGAGAACAUCUUUGCCAAUCUCUUUUAUCAAUCAUCUUUCGGCUUAUCUCUAACAGGUGGUAUUCUUUAAUGUGGAUUGCGGACGCUUCUGGGGACGAUGAGGUCCUUUGGCUUGCUGCCUUUCAGUGAAACCUUGAAGUGUUUCACCAAAAGCUAUACUGACUGUCUUUGCCUUUGAUCCGAAAAAGACACAUCUGAAACUCUUAGUCCAAAUAAAUGUCUCUUUGGUUAAUCGCUUGAUUUUCUUUUCCAUCAUCAGGUUGGUUAUUAACUCGAGGUUAGAAUAUAGUUCCUCUGGCACGAGACCCUAGGUCUCCUUUGUCAGUAAACAAUUAUACACAGGAUCACAUAUCCGCAUCUUCCAAAAGAAUCCUCUUAGAACUUGUUUUUAUUACAAAUCUCUCCCAUAGUACAUGAAUACAAGGCACUGUCUUAAGCAAAAAGGGAAGGUGCUUAACAUCGGUACAUUGUUUCCACUAUGGGUUAGAAUUAACAUGAGGCCUCACAGGUACGGCGUUUGCUCCAGUGACCACAAGGCGAGUGACUUGUCUUCUUCUUGCAUAAUGGCCGGAGUGAUGACGCAGGUUACGCUUCGGCUGUGGACAAUCUCUGGAGAAAUGACCUGGUUCUUUGCAGUUGUAACAAAUCAAUGCCCUUUUUACUGAGUUGUCCGUCUGAGAACGAUCAUUCUGACCCGGUGUUGGAAUUGGUGGUUGGAAAUCCUUGCUAACAUUGGCAUCAGUGGUACCAUAGUUGCUAUCACCAUUGGAGUCUUUCUCAGAGUCAAAAUUGCUAAGGUUGUCAUUCUGGGUUCCAACAUUGAUACUAUCGUUGACAUCUUGGUGAAUGCUACUGACAUUGCACGCUUUAUUCGAGUGGCCACUAAUGGGGCAAGAUCCAUGGUUGUUGGUGGUAUCAUCAUCAUUAGUAUUGCUAGUGUUGUUGUCUGCAUUGCGUCCAUCUUCUUGGGGCGGAAACUCUUGAUGCGCAACAGAAGAUCCGGUGAUCUGAAGUGGCUCAGUGCGCUGUCUUUGGUUACCACCUGGAAAUACUGGCAUGUUGACAAUCCUUCUCUUGCAGUUCGUCAUCCGAUUAUGCUCACUUUCGAGUUGCAUGGCUUUGUCCACAAGUUUCUCGAAAUCUUCAUAAUCCUCUAGAAGUAGUUGCACUGCAAGCUCAUCUUUUAACCCCUGAAGAAACUUCUCUUGUUUGUCUUCAUCCGUUUCCACAUCUUCUGGUGCAUAGUGAGCCAAACGAUAGAACUCGUGUAGGUACUCUGUGACGGUCAAAUCUCCUUGCUUCAGGUAGCGAAACUCUCGUUUUCUUAGUGUGAUCAUUCCUGCGGGAACAUGUGAUCUCUUGAAUACAGAUGAAAACUCGUUCCAGGUGAUGGUAUGUCCUUCUGGCCGUGAUGCUUCGUAGCUAUCCCACCACUCUGAAGCCGGUCCAACCAGCUGAUGAGUUGCGAAGCCAACCCGCUCCUGGUCGGUGCACUGAAUCAACCCUAGCUUCUUCUCGAUUGUGCGCAACCAAUCACUGGCUUCCAUAGGAUCGACGGCAAUGGCAAAGGUUGGAGGCUCAGUUUUGAGAAAUUCUGAUAAUUUGCACUGUUGCUGGACUGUAGGCACUUGAACGUUGGUUGCCCCUGCUGGGUUGUUCCAAUUCUGUAAUAGUUGAAAGGUUGUUGCCAACAUGUUGGUUUGGUUAACCACAACUUGGAUUAGCUCUGGUGAGGUUUCGUUGAUGCUUUUCUCAUUCCCAUUGGCUUGGGUUCUUGAGUCAUCGGAUCCAUCAUUCCCGUAGCCUUUGUUACCAGUGUUAUCCAUCUGUCACAAGGUAGAGGUUGAGAGGGGAAGCAUACAAGGAAAGAAUAGACCAGAACUAGGGACAAGACCUUAAAGGAACUAACUCUUUUUGUUGAUGUGUUGUUUGUUUUGCUUAUUCUGCAAGUUGAUUAAGCAAACAACCUAGCAUGGUUACAUCACAACCCACUGAUGCAAACCACGCGCUACACACACAAGCAAGGAACACACGACUAACAACACUACCCUAUAGGGUGGCUUAGGUUCAGCGACAGGUUCUCCAAGAUCUUCACUCCUGCUUCACAGCUGGCUUCACUGCUUCCUCCACUUCGCUAGCGGAUCCUGCAGUCUUUCGGAGCUUCGGCAAACAACUGAC
rnacentral:lncRNA from 1 species